GUGAGGAAUAUUGCGCAAUGGAGGCAACUCUGACGCAGCCAUGCCGCGUGCAGGAAGAAGGCGCUACGCGUUGUAAACUGCUUUUAACCGGGAAGAAACCCCAGGACGUGUCCUGGGUUGACGGUACCGGAGGAAUAAGCACCGGCUAACUUCGUGCCAGCAGCCGCGGUAAUACGAAGGGUGCAAGCGUUAUCCGGAUUCAUUGGGUUUAAAGGGUGCGUAGGCGGAGCGUUAAGUCAGUGGUGAAAUCCUGCAGCUUAACUGUAGACUUGCCAUUGAGACUGGCGCUCUUGAGUGCGCUUGAAGUGGGCGGAAUGUGCCGUGUAGCGGUGAAAUGCUUAGAUAUGGCACAGAACACCAAUUGCGAAGGCAGCUCACUAAGGCGAUACUGACGCUGAGGCACGAAAGCGUGGGGAUCGAACAGGAUUAGAAACCCUGGUAGUCC
rnacentral:rRNA from 1 species